CGUGGAGAACCUGCCGUAUACUGGGGGAUAACACUUAGAAAUAGGUGCUAAUACCGCAUAAGCGCACAGCUUCGCAUGAAGCAGUGUGGAAAACAAAAAGCUAAAGCUUUUGGUGGUAUACGAUGGAUCCGCGUCUGAUUAGCUAGUUGGCGGGGUAAAGGCCCACCAAGGCGACGAUCAGUAGCCGGCCUGAGAGGGUGAACGGCCACACUGGGACUGAGACACGGCCCAAACUCCUACGGAAGGCAGCAG
rnacentral:rRNA from 1 species